rnacentral:rRNA from 1 species
UACGGAGGGUGCGAGCGUUGUUCGGAAUCAUUGGGCGUAAAGCGCACGUAGGCGGGUUGUAAGUCGAUUGUGAAAUCCCCGGGCUUAACCUGGGAAUUGCAGUCGAAACUGCAAGUCUUGAAUGCUCGAGAGGAUGGUGGAAUUCCUGGUGUAGAAGUGAAAUUCGUAGAUAUCAGGAGGAACACCGGAGGCGAAAGCGGCCAUCUGGCGAGACAUUGACGCUAAGGUGCGAAAGCGCGGGGAG